AGUGAACGCUGGCGGUAGGCCUAACACAUGCAAGUCGAACGGCAGCACAGUAAGAGCUUGCUCUUACGGGUGGCGAGUGGCGGACGGGUGAAGAAUACAUCGGAAUCUACUUUUUCGUGGGGGAUAACGUAGGGAAACUUACGCUAAUACCGCAUACGACCUACGGGUGAAAGCAGGGGAUCUUCGGACCUUGCGCGAUUGAAUGAGCCGAUGUCGGAUUAGCUAGUUGGCGGGGUAAAGGCCCACCAAGGCGACGAUCCGUAGCUGGUCUGAGAGGAUGAUCAGCCACACUGGAACUGAGACACGGUCCAGACUCCUACGGGAGGCAGCAGUGGGGAAUAUUGGACAAUGGGCGCAAGCCUGAUCCAGCCAUACCGCGUGGGUGAAGAAGGCCUUCGGGUUGUAAAGCCCUUUUGUCGGGAAAGAAAAGCAGCAGGUUAAUACCCCGCUGUUCUGACGGUACCCAAAGAAUAAGCACCGGCUAACUUCGUG
rnacentral:rRNA from 1 species